rnacentral:sRNA from 1 species
UGUUUAUACAAUUAUAAAUUUAACAAAAAUAAUUGUGGUUGCUUUGAUUCAAUUACCUUUUCAUAAAAGCAGCCAAUGAAUCCAACGUUGUAUAAUCAAUGAUUUAGGAAACAUCAAAUGCAUUCACUCGACAAUUAUAUUUUGACAAUAAUAUAAUAGUUGGAAAAUAGUAUACUUCAGUUGAGUUUACUUUGAAAAGAUAGAUUUUCACAAAGCAAAUCAAAGAAACAAGAUACCAUCAAUAGAUUCUUGGCAUGCUUGAUCAACAAUCUUUGAAAACUUUCUUAAAAGAGUACACGCCAAGCGAUUAUCCCUUGAAGGUUUAAAAAUAAAGAUGAAUAGAGGGUAAAUAAACAUCAGCCAACUUAAUGAGGAAAAAAUAAGGGUAAAGUGAAUAUACUCAUUGUCUCUGAUAUGGAAAUCAAUUUUUUUUUGUUGAUUUGUUGUUAGCAUUAGAUUUCAUCUCGAACAACAACUUGAACAAUCACAUCUUGACAAAAUAAUAAAUAUAGAUAAGAUUCAACGACAUAUUUCUAAAAUUAAUAAAUACCAAAUAUAAAUUUAAAGAAAAACCUUACCGACUAAGAGACUUGUGUUAGCACGACUGGAAAGAAUAGCAUCAUACAUGGCAAGGGAUAAAAACAACUCAUCAAAGAUGUUAUCAUAUGGAGAGACAAUGGUUUUAAAAAGAAAUCCAAUCUUGUACUUCAAGUCAACAACUCAAUAUUGCCCACUUGUUGGAUUCAAUCUUCCAUUCACCCUCGACUAAACAAUUUUUAAAUUGUUUAUGUGAUCUCUGCUAACAACAGCAUAGAUCUUAUCACCCUACAAAAAACCUUAUAUUGUUAACAAGUUAUAUGUGAAUAAGAUUGUGUAUAUAAUAAUAUAAUACAGAUCUAUGGAGAUUAAAAACUAUUUAAAGCUUGAUCAGCGAAAAUGAUUUCCAAUGAUUCACCAGUUUUUGUGGAGGAUUGUCUCCAACCAUGAAGCAAUUUAACCUAGAUAUUCCAUGCAUUUUUGUAAGCCUCGAGAGAUUUCAAGGGGGGAAAUGGAAGAAGAUUAGCAAACAUCAUUUUUUUUU